CCUACGGGUGGCAGCAGUGGGGAAUUUUGGGCAAUGGGCGCAAGCCUGACCCAGCAAUGCCGCGUGAAGGAAGAAGGCUUUCGGGUUGUAAACUUCUUUGGCAGGGGAAGAGCAGAAGCCAGUGCACUGAAAACAAGCCACGGCUAACACCGUGCCAGCAGCCGCGGUAAUAAGUAGGCGGCAAGCGUGGUCCGGAUUUACUGGGUGUAAAGGGCGUGUAGCCGGGGAGGCAAGUCAGAUGUGAAAUCCGGAGGCUUAACCUGCGAAUUGCAUUUGAAACUGUUUGUCUUGAGUACUGGAGAGGCAGACGGAAUUCCUUGUGUAGCGGUGAAAUGCGUAGAUAUAAGGAGGAACACCAGUGGCGAAGGCGGUCUGCUGGACAGCAACUGACGGUGAGGCGCGAAAGCGUGGGGAGCAAACAGGAUUAGAUACCCCGGUAGUC
rnacentral:rRNA from 1 species